rnacentral:rRNA from 1 species
AGGACGAACGCUGGCGGCGUGCCUAACACAUGCAAGUCGAACGGACGAGAGGAGCUUGCUCCUCAAGUUAGUGGCGGACGGGUGAGUAACACGUGAGCAACCUGCCCUUCGGAGGGGGACAACAGCUGGAAACGGCUGCUAAUACCGCAUGACACAGCGGGGAGGCAUCUCCCUGCUGUCAAAGAUUUUAUCGCCGAAGGAUGGGCUCGCGUCUGAUUAGAUAGUUGGUGAGGUAACGGCCCACCAAGUCAACGAUCAGUAGCCGGACUGAGAGGUUGAACGGCCACAUUGGGACUGAGAUACGGCCCAGACUCCUACGGGAGGCAGCAGUGGGGAAUAUUGGGCAAUGGGGGCAAACCCCCUGACCCAGCAACGCCGCGUGAAGGAAGAAGGCUUUCGGGUUGUAAACUUCUUUGACGAGGGACGAUAGUGACGGUACCUCGAAAACAAGCCACGGCUAACUACGUGCCAGCAGCUGC